rnacentral:misc_RNA from 1 species
AAGUCGUAACAAGGUUUCCGUAGGUGAACCUGCGGAAGGAUCAUUAUCACGUAUCCACGUAUAAACUUCAUGAACUGUUCCCUUUGGAACAAUGGGGAUGGGGACCGUUGCUGUGUGCCUUCAUUCUCAAUUAACUUGUUCCACUGCGGUAAAUCUCACAGCUUAUUAUUAACGCUUUUGUUCGUCGAACUGAACUGUUGGGUGUUGGCUCACGCCGCAUCCAAGCGUUUUUAACAAACUUAAAACAAUUCUUAACAACGGAUAUCUUGGUUCCCGUUUCGAUGAAGAACGCAAC